rnacentral:rRNA from 1 species
CCUAACACAUGCAAGUCGAACGGAAAGGCCCUGCUUUUGUGGGGUGCUCGAGUGGCGAACGGGUGAGUAACACGUGAGUAACCUGCCCUUGACUUUGGGAUAACUUCAGGAAACUGGGGCUAAUACCGGAUAGGAGCUCCUGCUGCAUGGUGGGGGUUGGAAAGUUUCGGCGGUUGGGGAUGGACUCGCGGCUUAUCAGCUUGUUGGUGGGGUAGUGGCUUACCAAGGCUUUGACGGGUAGCCGGCCUGAGAGGGUGACCGGCCACAUUGGGACUGAGAUACGGCCCAGACUCCUACGGGAGGCAGCAGUGGGGAAUAUUGCACAAUGGGCGGAAGCCUGAUGCAGCAACGCCGCGUGCGGGAUGACGGCCUUCGGGUUGUAAACCGCUUUCGCCUGUGACGAAGCGUGAGUGACGGUAAUGGGUAAAGAAGCACCGGCUAACUACGUGCCAGCAGCCGCGGUGAUACGUAGGGUGCGAGCGUUGUCCGGAUUUAUUGGGCGUAAAGGGCUCGUAGGUGGUUGAUCGCGUCGGAAGUGUAAUCUUGGGGCUUAACCCUGAGCGUGCUUUCGAUACGGGUUGACUUGAGGAAGGUAGGGGAGAAUGGAAUUCCUGGUGGAGCGGUGGAAUGCGCAGAUAUCAGGAGGAACACCAGUGGCGAAGGCGGUUCUCUGGGCCUUUCCUGACGCUGAGGAGCGAAAGCGUGGGGAGCGAACAGGCUUAGAUACCCUGGUAGUCCACGCUGUAAACGGUGGGUACUAGGUGUGGGGUCCAUUCCACGGGUUCCGUGCCGUAGCUAACGCUUUAAGUACCCCGCCUGGGGAGUACGGCCGCAAGGCUAAAACUCAAAGGAAUUGACGGGGCCCCGCACAAGCGGCGGAGCAUGCGGAUUAAUUCGAUGCAACGCGUAGAACCUUACCUGGGUUUGACAUGGAUCGGGAGUGCUCAGAGAUGGGUGUGCCUCUUUUGGGGUCGGUUCACAGGUGGUGCAUGCCUGUCGUCAGCUCGUGUCGUGAGAUGUUGGGUUAAGUCCCGCAACGAGCGCAACCCUUGUUCACUGUUGCCAGCACGUUAUGGUGGGGACUCAGUGGAGACCGCCGGGGUCAACUCGGAGGAAGGUGGGGAUGACGUCAAGUCCUCAUGCCCCUUAUGUCCAGGGCUUCACGCAUGCUACAAUGGCUGGUACAGAGAGUGGCGAGCCUGUGAGGGUGAGCGAAUCUCGGAAAGCCGGUCUCAGUUCGGAUUGGGGUCUGCAACUCGACCUCAUGAAGUCGGAGUCGCUAGUAAUCGCAGAUCAGCAACGCUGCGGUGAAUACGUUCCCGGGGCUUGUACACACCGCCCGUCAAGUCAUGAAAGUUGGUAACACCCGAAGCCGGUGGCCUAACCGUUGUGGGGGAGCCGUCGAAGGUGGGACUGGUGAUU